CGCAUUAGUUGGAAAGGGGCCACAUCUUCUCUCUCCCUCAAUGGCGAAUCUUGAAAAACCCCCGACUGGCCGAUAAAAUAACCCUUGCUCAUGGAUUUUCCCCGUCCUCCGCCCGUCCCCGGCCUAAUCCGUCGGCCAGCGGUACACUCUCCGGCGCCUCCGCUGCCUAAAUCUCCCGAUCCGCCGCCGUCAACGUCAAACUUGUUGCUCCGUUCUUCCGAGGGCGUCGUUGUGGUGGGUUUCGUCUCGCGGAGGCCCGACGAUUCCUCACAGCUCAUCAACCGGGUUCUGGAUUCCAACGUAUUCGGGUCGGGUAACUUGGACAGGUUCUUGAGGGUUGAAAGAGACGAGGUUCGGGAUUGGUUUAGGUUUCGGAGGAUUAGCUAUUACCACGAGGAGGACAAGGGUUUUCUCUUCCUGCAGUUUUGCCCGACCCGGUGCCCGGCUUUUGACGGCGUGUCGGAUCCUGGGUCGGGUUUUGAUUCGGUUCUGGAGGAGCGGGAGUUCGGUGAUCUUCAGGGCUUGCUCUUCAUGUUCUCUGUUUGUCAUGUUAUCAUAUACAUUCAGGAAGGGUCACGCUUUGAUACUCAACUCUUGAAGAAAUUUAGGGUCUUGCAAGCUGCCAAACAGGCAUUAGCUCCAUACUUUAGGUCUCAAACUCCAUCUCCUUUGACAUCGUCAUCAUCAUCGAGACCUCAUUCUUCAUCACCAUCACGUGCUUCUCCACAGCCAAACUCUUCAGCUUCAGCUAGAGGUGGUGGCAUUAUAAGUCGUGGUCCGCUCAUGUCUGGACUGGGUUCCUACACUUCUCUGUUCCCUGGACAGUGUAAUCCUGUAACAUUAUUUGUGUUUUUGGAUGAUUUCUCAAACAUGUCAAAUAGUGGCUCUGGUGUAGAGGAAUCAACGAGCAAUUCAUCUGUAAAUAACCAGUCUUCGAACUCAGGCAAGUUUGCUAGGUCGACCUUACCCGUGAAAGGUUCUGGUUCUGUAGUUGUGCUAUCUCGCCCUGGAAGUAAAUCUGAAGGUGGAUUAAGGAAGAAAUUACAAUCAUCUCUUGAGGCCCAGAUCAGGUUUUUGAUUAAGAAAUGUAAAACCCUAUCAGGCUCCGAUAACAGUCAUGCAGGUUCAAGAAGUGGGUCUGUUUCGAGUUCCACACCUUUAUUUUCACUUGAUGCAUCAAAGACUGUUGUCCUUUUAGACCGGUCUAGUAAUAAGAAAGGAGAGGCUCUGGAGUUUGCUUCUUUUCUUGUGGAUGAUGUUUUGAAUGGAAAGGCUAAGUCAGAGUCUCUUCUGCUUGAAAAGAAUGGUCAGAUAUCUAUGAAAGAGGAUGUGAUGUCUGUAAAGGAGUUCAUCCACAGGUGCUCUGAUAUUUUAAGAGGUAAAGAGGGUUUGGCUGCUAAUUCAAGUAAUGCUGGCACCGGUAUGGUUGCCGUUGCAGCAGCAGCAGCAGCUGCUGCUUCAGCUACAUCUGCAAAAACGUUUACUCCUCCACAACUUCCGCAUUUGGAAGAAUGGCUCUCAUGCAGUCUUCGAAUUCUAGACGGCAUUCUAACUGCGAAAAGUGUGCCUAUCACUGAAUUUGACAUUAUCAAGAAGAAACCUCGUGAACGAAACAUUUCCCCAUCAAAAGUUGAAACAGUGUCAUCAAAAGGUGCAGACACUCUGGGUAUUGCUGUUUCUUGGUUGGGAAGUGGGAAAGGUCUGAAUCAGAAAUUUUCCUCUUUGUGGUGUGAAAGAGCCCUUCCGGUAGCAAAGGAGGUCUAUUUGAAAGAUCUUCCUGCAUGUUAUCCUACUUCGAUGCAUGAAAUACAUCUACAGAAGACCUUGCAUGCUUUCAACUCAAUGGUCAGAGGACCCUCAGUGGAGCUCUUCACUAAGAGGUUGGAGGAUGAGUGCACGGCCUUAUGGAAAUCGGGAAGACAGCUAUGUGAUGCUAUCAGUUUAACUGGGAAGCCGUGUAUGCACCAAAGACACAAUGUUGGGGCUGAUGAGUUGGUACCUGGAGCUGAUGUGAAACCACAUUCCAGUGGUUAUGUUUUCCUUCACGCUUGCGCUUGUGGUCGCUUGCGGAGAUUACGUUCUGAUCCUUUUGAUUUUGACUCAGCAAAUAUUUUGUUCAACUGCUUUCCAGACUGUGACAAACUUCUUCCUAGUGUUAAGCUACCUGAAGUAAGUUAUGUGGGACCUGUACUAUCGUCGUCAUGGAGUAUAGUCCGAGUAGGUGGCUCGAGGUAUUAUGAACCCUCAAAAGGUUUACUACAAAGUGGGUUUUCUGCUGCACAGAAGUUUCUUUCGAAAUGGGUAUUGUUUCUAAACAAGCAGGAAACUCCAAAUGGAUUGCUGCCUAGUAAUGCAUUAAAGGAUUCAAUGUCUGGAUCAAAUGUAGUUAUGCCUAGAUUAGUUACAAACAGAAGCAAGGUUGAUACAUCACAAGUUACCCUAGGGGCUGUAAAUCGGGAUCAGGGAGGAUCCGUGGAUGAUGGUGGUGUUUCUGACAGUAGAAUUAGUUUUGGUAAAGGCCUUCCGAAUUUCAUCAUGAAAAAGCCUUUCUCAGAGGUUGUUGCUGGAUCAACAAGCAUAGAUUUGUUAUUUCCUCCUCUUCAACAGAGCAGACAACCUUUCCCUGCCCUGGACAAGGAUGUCAAGCAAAAGAGAGUGAAUGAACAGCGCAACGAGCACACUCAAGAUGCUUUUAAACAAGAUUCUCAAGAGUCUGAGGGCAUUUCUUGUGGUCAGGAAAUCUUAGACAGGACCAGAGGCAUUGAUGCUGCACAUAUUGAUCCUUUUUUGCAACUUGGCCGUAAUGCAGUGUCAACGAAUACAAAGGUUGGUGAGAAGGUUAGGACAAACCGCAUGCCAGAGAAUGUGACUGCUUACAUAGGAUUUGAGCAUGAGUGUCCUCGUGGCCAUCGCUUCUUAUUGAGUGUAGAGCACCUCACUAAGCCAGGGCCUUCAUAUUCUGUUCCCGAAGGACAUCUUGGUCCUAAUCCUGCAGAAACUUCAAAGUUUGCAGUUGAUCCUUCAAAGCUGGAGAAGAAUACUGGCUACGGUAAAGGCCGUCGAAAGUCCAAUAGGAUGAAAACCGUGGAUAGGUCAAGGUCAAUUGUCUCAAAAGAUAAUUUCAUACCUGGAAAAGAAGGCAAUAGGAUGUCGGUGGAUACAAACACGGGUGAUCAAGUUAUUCAGGAUCAUGGGGCAGACACCCGAGCCGAUAACUUUGAUGAUUCUGGCUCGGCUUUUACUCUGUUGGGUAGAAACUUGCCAUUAUUCAUGAAUUGUCCUCAUUGCUUAGCAGUUUUGCCCAAGAAGGAUUCUGCAAAUAUUAAAUAUGCUGGUACGAUAUCGCAGCUUCAGAGAAUUUUUCUGGUCACACCUCAGUCUCCUGUAGUGUUGGCAACCUGUCCGGUGGUAAAAUUUCAGGAAUCAUCCCUACCUCCCUCUGUCGUUGACCGUGAGCAGAAGUUGCAGUUUAGCCUUGGAUGUCCCGUGAUUUUACCACCGGAUAGUUUUCUCUCUCUAAGAUUACCAUUUGUGUACGGUGUACAACUGGAAGACGGAACACAGCUUCCUCUGAAUCCAUCGGAACAAGAACCUGAGAAUACUGCUUGGAUCGUUAAAGGCACAGUGUUGGAGGUGCUAUCGAAAGAGGACAGUCUCGGACAAAAACACUAGAACAUGGUGAUGUCGAUUUCUGAGCAUUACAUUGAUCAUCUCAUCGAUAUUCCUCUCUCUGGCUGUGAUGGAAACGUACUCUUUUACCGGAAACUGACUGUCCCUACAAGCGUACCAUGAUUCAUCAGUUGCCAUAUGCUUUUGUUGUCUGAUUUGAAAGUUGAAGAUGAGAAGAAUGAGCAGAUGGGCAAUAAGGAUUGGUUCAGCCAUGCUCAGAACUCUUUAUGGGGAAUGAGAUGGGUCAAGUGGUCUGAUUUCAGAUUGCUCGGGGAGCUCAAGACAAAUCGGUAUUCGAGCAUAUCAGCUCGAUCUGCUCAUGUCGGAAAAGCUUCUGUGGUCAGCUGAAAAAAGUUUUUCUUGGUUUCUGGAAUCUCAUCCUGACUUCGUCCUUCUGUUUCCGGCACUCCCACAAAGGUAUAUAAGAUCAGACAGCUUCUGAAGUUCGAUCUAUCUCUUCAGCUUGAUGAACACUGAUGUAAGAUAGGGUUUUCUUAGAUAACUAAUAGACCUUUAACCCGGAAAAAAAAAAACUUUUCUUGCUCUGUGAGUUUCUGGGCUUCUUAUUUCAGUAUUAUGGCUUCAACAAAACCGAACGAAAGAUGAGGACCAUAGGCUCUGUCUAUUUAUUACAGUAAUGCUUGAUCCAUAAAUGAAAAAUUUGCCAGCC